CGGGACACGUGGUAUCCUGUCUGAAUAUGGGGGGACCAUCCUCCAAGGCUAAAUACUCCUGACUGACCGAUAGUGAACCAGUACCGUGAGGGAAAGGCGAAAAGAACCCCGGCGAGGGGAGUGAAAAAGAACCUGAAACCGUGUACGUACAAGCAGUGGGAGCACAGAGCAAUCUGUGUGACUGCGUACCUUUUGUAUAAUGGGUCAGCGACUUAUAUUCUGUAGCAAGGUUAACCGAAUAGGGGAGCCGAAGGGAAACCGAGUCUUAACUGGGCGUUAAGUUGCAGGGUAUAGACCCGAAACCCGGUGAUCUAGCCAUGGGCAGGUUGAAGGUUGGGUAACACUAACUGGAGGACCGAACCGACUAAUGUUGAAAAAUUAGCGGAUGACUUGUGGCUGGGGGUGAAAGGCCAAUCAAACCGGGAGAUAGCUGGUUCUCCCCGAAAGCUAUUUAGGUAGCGCCUCGUGAAUUCAUCUCCGGGGGUAGAGCACUGUUUCGGCAAGGGGGUCAUCCCGACUUACCAACCCGAUGCAAACUGCGAAUACCGGAGAAUGUUAUCACGGGAGACACACGGCGGGUGCUAACGUCCGUCGUGAAGAGGGAAACAACCCAGACCGCCAGCUAAGGUCCCAAAGUCAUGGUUAAGUGGGAAACGAUGUGGGAAGGCCCAGACAGCCAGGAUGUUGGCUUAGAAGCAGCCAUCAUUUAAAGAAAGCGUAAUAGCUCACUGGUCGAGUCGGCCUGCGCGGAAGAUGUAACGGGGCUAAACCAUGCACCGAAGCUGCGGCAGCGACGCUUAUGCGUUGUUGGGUAGGGGAGCGUUCUGUAAGCCUGCGAAGGUGUGCUGUGAGGCAUGCUGGAGGUAUCAGAAGUGCGAAUGCUGACAUAAGUAACGAUAAAGCGGGUGAAAAGCCCGCUCGCCGGAAGACCAAGGGUUCCUGUCCAACGUUAAUCGGGGCAGGGUGAGUCGACCCCUAAGGCGAGGCCGAAAGGCGUAGUCGAUGGGAAACAGGUUAAUAUUCCUGUACUUGGUGUUACUGCGAAGGGGGGACGGAGAAGGCUAUGUUGGCCGGGCGACGGUUGUCCCGGUUUAAGCGUGUAGGCUGGUUUUCCAGGCAAAUCCGGAAAAUCAAGGCUGAGGCGUGAUGACGAGGCACUACGGUGCUGAAGCAACAAAUGCCCUGCUUCCAGGAAAAGCCUCUAAGCAUCAGGUAACAUCAAAUCGUACCCCAAACCGACACAGGUGGUCAGGUAGAGAAUACCAAGGCGCUUGAGAGAACUCGGGUGAAGGAACUAGGCAAAAUGGUGCCGUAACUUCGGGAGAAGGCACGCUGAUAUGUAGGUGAAGUCCCUCGCGGAUGGAGCUGAAAUCAGUCGAAGAUACCAGCUGGCUGCAACUGUUUAUUAAAAACACAGCACUGUGCAAACACGAAAGUGGACGUAUACGGUGUGACGCCUGCCCGGUGCCGGAAGGUUAAUUGAUGGGGUCAGCGCAAGCGAAGCUCUUGAUCGAAGCCCCGGUAAACGGCGGCCGUAACUAUAACGGUCCUAAGGUAGCGAAAUUCCUUGUCGGGUAAGUUCCGACCUGCACGAAUGGCGUAAUGAUGGCCAGGCUGUCUCCACCCGAGACUCAGUGAAAUUGAACUCGCUGUGAAGAUGCAGUGUACCCGCGGCAAGACGGAAAGACCCCGUGAACCUUUACUAUAGCUUGACACUGAACAUUGAGCCUUGAUGUGUAGGAUAGGUGGGAGGCUUGGAAGUGUGGACGCCAGUCUGCAUGGAGCCGACCUUGAAAUACCACCCUUUAAUGUUUGAUGUUCUAACGUUGACCCGUAAUCCGGGUUGCGGACAGUGUCUGGUGGGUAGUUUGACUGGGGCGGUCUCCUCCUAAAGAGUAACGGAGGAGCACGAAGGUUGGCUAAUCCUGGUCGGACAUCAGGAGGUUAGUGCAAUGGCAUAAGCCAGCUUGACUGCGAGCGUGACGGCGCGAGCAGGUGCGAAAGCAGGUCAUAGUGAUCCGGUGGUUCUGAAUGGAAGGGCCAUCGCUCAACGGAUAAAAGGUACUCCGGGGAUAACAGGCUGAUACCGCCCAAGAGUUCAUAUCGACGGCGGUGUUUGGCACCUCGAUGUCGGCUCAUCACAUCCUGGGGCUGAAGUAGGUCCCAAGGGUAUGGCUGUUCGCCAUUUAAAGUGGUACGCGAGCUGGGUUUAGAACGUCGUGAGACAGUUCGGUCCCUAUCUGCCGUGGGCGCUGGAGAACUGAGGGGGGCUGCUCCUAGUACGAGAGGACCGGAGUGGACGCAUCACUGGUGUUCGGGUUGUCAUGCCAAUGGCACUGCCCGGUAGCUAAAUGCGGAAGAGAUAAGUGCUGAAAGCAUCUAAGCACGAAACUUGCCCCGAGAUGAGUUCUCCCUGACUCCUUGAGAGUCCUGAAGGAACGUUGAAG
rnacentral:rRNA from 1 species